rnacentral:lncRNA from 1 species
CACGUAAGAGUUGAAACGAGUUUACCGGAUUGACGAACAACUUCUUGAAAAUUGAAAAUAGUUGAACUUGAAUACUUGAAAACUUUAAUUCAACAACUUCACAAUUUUUCACGAAUUUGCAACAAUAUAUUAAGCACUUGCACUAGAACGAUUGAAAGAGAGCUUGAGAGAGAUUGAGAGAUAUUGAUGAAUUGGUGAAUAAAAAUGAAAGAAUAAGGGGGUAUUUAUAGUUGAGAAAUGGAAAAU